CCUGGGUCUCCGGAGUCUGGCGAAACGAUCGAUGAAUCUGUUUGAGACGAUACUGUGAAUGAAAAAGAAAAUCUUUGAAAAGGUGUAUUAAAUCUGAUUAAAAUUAUGAGUGAACAUAAUUAUUAUCAAAAUAAUAAAUCAUCUCACAAUAGUGAAAAUGAUGAUGAGUUUCUUGACCAAAGAUGACUGACAUGGUUUUAUUAACUCUUAUAAAACAAUACCCAUGUAUAUAUGAUCCAAACAAGUUAAAUCAAAAAAAAAUUAAUUUCAUAAAAUAAUGGACAUAUUAUUUAAAUAAUGAUAUCUUCAUAAAAUGUACCUUCAUGUAAUAUAUAAUGAAGUUAUUAUGAGUGUAUUUAUUUAUAUCUUCAUUGUUUUUCUGCAUUACAUACUGUAAAUUGUUGGAAGAUAGUAAUAUAUUAAAUAUAAAUAAAAAUCAUAUUAUUUAUUUUUAA